rnacentral:rRNA from 1 species
UACAGAGGUCCCGAGCGUUGUUCGGAUUUAUUGGGCGUAAAGGGUGCGUAGGCGGCGGGGAAAGUCAGAUGUGAAAUCCGGAGGCUCAACCUCCGAAUUGCAUCCGAUACUCCCUCGCUAGAGAGUUGUAGAGGAGCUUGGAAUUCUCGGUGUAGCAGUGAAAUGCGUAGAUAUCGAGAAGAACGCUCGCAGCGAAGGCGAAGCUCUGGGCAAUUUCUGACGCUGAUGCACGAAGGCUAGGGGAGCAAACGGG